rnacentral:rRNA from 1 species
CCCUUAGAUGUUCUGGGCUGCACACGUGCUACACUGGCAGGUUCAGCGAGCUUCAUGCCCUGAUCUGAAAGGAAUGGGAAAUCUUUUCAAAACCUGCCGUGCUUGGGAUAGAUGUUUGCAAUUAUUCAUCUUCAACGAGGAUUGCCUUGUAAGCGCACGUCAUCAGCGUGCAUUGAAUACGACCCUGUAUUCUGUACACACCGCCCGUCGCUCCUACCGAUUGAAGUUUUCGGUGAGUUGACAGGAGGAUUUUUUUGAAUCUGGUUCGCCAGUGGAUUUUAGAUCCAAAUGCCAACGAAUCGAUGGCUUUAGAGGAAGGAGAAGUCGUAACA